rnacentral:antisense_RNA from 1 species
AUUUUCAGUAUCUUGAGACCCCUCCGACAUUUCCUCUUCAGACUGGACUCCAAGACAUUUAAAUCGCCACAUUGCAUUAUAAAUGGUUUUGAUCCGAGAAGCUGCAUGAGCAGUUAUCCAUUUAAAAAUGUGCUCUACUUCAAUCUUGCGUCCACUGUAUUCUUUAAGCAUGACUUUCCCUUUUGAAGUACUUGUUUGUGGAACAGACAUAAUGAGUGUGGAUCGGACCCAGCCUCUUCUCCUGCAAUAUCUAUAAGAGAGGAAACUAGACCAUGCAUAAAAUGGACCUGGAAAAGCUUGAAAAUGUGAAGAGGAUUGAACUGGCUGGCAUCUGUGCAUCUUCAUCUAUGAAAACACUCCUCAUAGACUUAAAACAAAUGACAGAGAACAAAUUAGUCAGCUUCUAAAACACAGUGGUCUCCCCUUAUCCUCAGUUUCACUUUCUGCAGUCAACUGCAGUCCAAAAAUACUACAUACAGUUAGAUAUUCGGAGAGAGACAUACCACAUUUACAUAAAUGUUAUUUCAGUAUACUGUUAUAAUUGUUCUAUUUUUAUUAUUAGUUGUUGUUGUUACUGUGCCUAACUUACACAUUAAACUUUAUGACAGGUAUGUAUGUAUAGGAAAAAACAUAGACUAUAUAGGAUUUGGUACUAUCCACGGUUUUAGGCAUCCACUGGGAGUCUUGGAACGUAUCCCCCUCAGAUAAGGGGGGACUACUGUAAACAGAAAAUAACAACAAUUCAAAUUGUUAAAAACUGAAUUCUUGAAAGUUAUCCUUUAUAAUAGAUUAAUAUAUAUGAUCUGAGCUGAAAGAAUGGCAAACAAUGGAGACAAUAUUUCUCUUCUGUUUCUAGUAGAUAUUUUCAAUUUUAAGCAUAGUUUAAAAAAAAAAUACAACCCUCUUUUAAGGGCUUAAACCAAGGUGGCUGUGCUGAUUGGCUUAGCUGGCUAGUUCACAGUGCCAAGGACAGGGUUUCAAUCUCAUUCUUCUCAGUUGUCCUGCCAGAGAUUUUCUUUCAGACCAGGCCAGCCAUUUGACAGAUGUAAGCCACUGGCCUCAAGGAACACAAGCCAGACAGUGGUGGUCAACACAAACCUUGAGCAUCACUGGAAAAAUUAAGUAGGUGUCCUACUGCAUUAUUUCCAUAC